CAGGCCUAACACAUGCAAGUCGAACGGUGGCAGCAAUGCCAUAGUGGCGCACGGGUGCGUAACACGUAACUAACCUGCCCAGACCUGGGGGAUAGCCCGCCGAAAGGCGGAUUAAUACCGCAUAAGAUAAUAAGGUGGCAUCACCUAGUUAUUAAAGAUUUAUCGGGUUUGGAUGGGGUUGCGGGUCAUUAGCUAGUUGGUAAGGUAAUGGCUUACCAAGGCGACGAUGACUAGGGGAGCUGAGAGGCUGGUCCCCCACACGGGCACUGAGAUACGGGCCCGACUCCUACGGGAGGCAGCAGUAGGGAAUAUUGGGCAAUGGGCGAGAGCCUGACCCAGCCAUGCCGCGUGCAGGAAGAAGGCUUUCUGAGUCGUAAACUGCUUUUGAUAGGGAAGAAUAACCAGUACGUGUACUGGGAUGACGGUACCUACAGAAUAAGCACCGGCUAACUCCGUGCCAGCAGCCGCGGUAAU
rnacentral:rRNA from 1 species